rnacentral:rRNA from 1 species
UACAGGAGGGUGCAAGCGUUGUUCGGAAUUAUUGGGGCGUAAAGGGAGUGUAGGCGGCUAGGAAAGUCUUCUGUGAAAUCUACGGGCUCAGCCUGUAACGUGCAGAGGAAACUAUCUGGCUAGAGUGUCGGAGAGGAUAGGGGAAUACCCGGUGUAGAGGUGAAAUUCGUAGAGAUCGGGUGGAACACCAGUGGCGAAGGCGCCUGUCUGGCUGACAACUGACGCUGAGACUCGAAAGCAUGGGGAGCAAACAGG